AUACAGAGGGUGCAAGCGUUAAUCGGAUUUACUGGGCGUAAAGCGCGCGUAGGCGGUUUGAUUAGUCAGAUGUGAAAGCCCUGGGCUUAACCUGGGAACUGCAUUUGAUACUGUCAGGCUAGAGUAUGGUAGAGGGUAGUAGAAUUCCUGGUGUAGCGGUGAAAUGCGUAGAUAUCAGGAGGAAUACCAGUGGCGAAGGCGGCUACCUGGACCAAUACUGACGCUGAGGUGUGAAAGCGUGGGGAGCAAACAGGAUUAGAAACCCGGGUAGUCC
rnacentral:rRNA from 1 species